GGAGUUUGGUCCGUGUCUCAGUACCAAUGUGGGGGACCUUCCUCUCAGAACCCCUACUGAUCGUCGCCUUGGUGGGCCGUUACCCCGCCAACUGGCUAAUCAGACGCAUCCCCAUCCCUUACCGAUGAAUCUUUGGUAUUCGUCAGAUGUCCUCAAAAUACAACAUAGAGUAUUAAUCCGACUUUCGCCGGGCGUAUCCUCUACUAAGGGGAAGGUUGGAUACGCGUUACUCACCCGUCGCGCCGGUCGCCAUCUAGAUUAGCAAGCUAAUCUAAUGCUGCCCCUCCGACUUGCAUGUGUUAAGCCUGUAGCUAGCGUUCAUC
rnacentral:rRNA from 1 species